rnacentral:lncRNA from 1 species
UCUUCUAUCAUAUGCAAGGAAACUGAAAACAUCAAAAACAUGAAACACGGUUUAACACACUCUCACAUCACAAAACCAACAUCAAAGGCACGACAACCUUCUCUUGUGCAAGAAAUAACCACCACAUUGACAUCAGAAGCCACACCAUCUUGUGAACUAUUUUAACAUUUCUCAUAUGCAGGGAAAAUAGUAUCACAAACAUGAGAACAAGGUCGAACACACACACACACACUCGUGUCAGGAAACCAACAUUAAGGGCACGUCAAAAUCUCGUGUCACGUACAAGAGAACCAUCAUAAAUCACACCAACUCAUGAAAAGAAAAGGAAAUUUAUCAAAAAGCAACCAAGAGAUGAACUAUUUAAAAAAUCUCACCAUUUCUAUUGAUUUAAUUUAAAAAAAAACAAGGAAACUAACAAAAAAAGAAACAGAAAAAUAUACAAUGAGACCGUUUAUCUUUGGUACAAGGUGGUCACAAUUGAUCUUGACCAUUGAAUGUGAAAUUGGAUGGUUGCAUUUAUUCCAUCGACCAUGCACAAACUUCAAAAGAAUUUUUUUCGAACUUUGUGACACACCAAAGCUACAGAUUUCACAUCAGAUGGUUGUACAUAAUUGUGACCUCUUUAUGUCAAAGGUAAAUUGUCUCAUUGUUUACAAUCCCAACAGAAACAAAGAGAUGAAACUAUUUAACAUCCCACCCAUUAUUUUUUAUUUAAUAUCGAGAAGCCCAUCAAAGACACGUAAUCAAGAAUUAGGAUAGUUGAUAAAUGUGAAAUUGUUGAUAUUUUAGGCGUGAUUUGAUAAAUGAGGUGUGGUUUGAUAUAGUCUGCAAAGAAAAGGAAGUAACUGUGAGUGUUGGGAGCUUAGACCCAACAUCCACUGUCCAUACUGCCAAAGGAGUUGGAAUUGUCCGCUUUUAAAGCUGCCUUAUUUUUAAGCGGUAAGGGUUACUCAGCUCCACUAGGAUAAAUAGGACUGGGGGAUGCAUAAUGAAACUUGUACGUGAUACUAUAGUACCCAUUUGGAUUGGUCUCAUGAAAUUAGGGUUUAGAGCCCAAGCAAAGAGAAAAGUAAGUGCAGAAAUUAAACUGUUGGGUGAGCAGAUAUGGACUAGAGUGAGAACGCUGGUGUCUCAGGGUUUUGAGCCCAAGCAAAAAGGAGAGUGUGGUUGUGGGGGAGUGUGCUACCAAGCACUACAAACAAGGCAAACUGCAAUGGUAUUAUAGUAUCUGGUCUCGAGAAAAAUUCACAGAAGUAUGCAGCACUCCCUUGCUCCCUCUCAACUACAUCUUGGUGCGUAGACUUAAAAGCAUGGUGAAUUAACACUAGUGACCAGAUGAUGGUGAUCUACACCAAACUCUCGUCUCAGUAAUAACUACAACAAGCUCUUAACAAUACAAAGACCAAAAAGGUAUCUGGCAAAUCCAAAUCCUGGCACUUACAUAGCGGUACAAAUUUUAUUAGCACAGUAAACCAACCAAGACUUGCAAUCUAUCAAAAAGCAUGGUGAAUUAACACUAGUGACCAGAUGAUGGUGAUCUACACCAAACUCUCGUCUCAGUAAUAACUACAACAAGCUCUUAACAAUACAAAGACCAAAAAGGUAUCUGGCAAAUCCAAAAUCCUGGCACUUACAUAGCGGUACAAAUUUUAUUAGCACAGUAAACCAACCAAGACUUGCAAUCUAUCAAAAAGCAUGGUGAAUUAACACUAGUGACCAGAUGAUGGUGAUCUACACCAAACUCUCGUCUCAGUAAUAACUACAACAAGCUCUUAACAAUACAAAGACCAAAAAGGUAUCUGGCAAAUCCAAAUCCUGGCACUUACAUAGCGGUACAAAUUUUAUUAGCACAGUAAACCAACCAAGACUUGCAAUCUAUCAAAAAUUCUGUGCAACAUGUGGUUCAAAAUUCAUUUCAUUGGCACAUUAUCAUAUAUUUGUAACACAUAUGUUAGCAUUCUAGUUCCA